rnacentral:tRNA from 1 species
AGUGUGGUGUAGUGGUUUGAGUGUUGGACUAUGGUUCUGGAGAUCAGGGUUCAAUUCCCUGUUACACCA